rnacentral:rRNA from 1 species
UACGUAGGCAGCAAGCGUUGUUCGGAGUUACUGGGCGUAAAGGGUGUGUAGGCGGUUGGAUAAGUGUGGUGUGAAAUCUCCCGGCUCAACUGGGAGGGUGCGCUACAAACUGUCUGACUAGAGUGUGGGAUGGGAAAGUGGAAUUCCUGGUGUAGCGGUGAAAUGCGUAGAUAUCAGGAGGAACACCGGUGGUGUAGACGGCUUUCUGGACCAUAACUGACGCUGAGACACGAAAAGCGUGGGUAGCAAACAGG